AGUUAGGAAACUGACUGUCGCUCUCUCCGGCCUCGGCGCUGCUUCGGACGCCCCGGCACCGGCCCCCGUUGCUUUGUAGCAUUCUGCAGCUGGGCUGCAGGCGCCGUGGGCCUCCGCCAGUUGUGUUCGAGACGCGGUUCGGCCACAGAAGUUUUAGCUUGUGACUUUUGGCAAGUCAGUGGCCCUCUCUGGGCCUCAGGUGCCUUUUUUGCUGUGAGACCAGCGACUGUAUUUUUAACCCUGAUUUUAUCCCUAGAUCUACCCAACACAUAGUAGGUGCUCAAAAGAUAUUUAUGAGUGAAUGAAUGCAUCAUGAGAAGAAAUUGGACCAGAUGAGGCCCUGUGAAGCUGCUUGGGUCUUUUUUUGUUCUUUUUUUUUUCUCUCUUCUGAGUGUCCCUGGCCUGGACUAGAAAUUCUCCAUCCUUCGGCCUUCUGCGAGACUGCAGGAACAUUACUUUUGAAGGAUGCUAAGGAAUCCGAGGGAUGAAAAAAAUCAAGAGAUUGCAAUGAUGUCACAAAACAAGGAAACAAGUGCAGCAUCUUCACUCCGAAGCAGAAAUUUGCCAAAAAAGCAUCCUCUUUUUAUCAGAAAAUAAAAUAUCCUGGUUUCUUA
rnacentral:lncRNA from 1 species